GAAAUGCGAUAAGUAAUGUGAAUUGCAGAAUUCAGUGAAUCAUCGAAUCUUUGAACGCACCUUGCGCUCCUUGGUAUUCCGAGGAGCAUGCCUGUUUGAGUGUCAUGGAAUUCUCAACUCUAUUUGCUUUUGUGAAUAGAGCUUGGAUCUGGAGGUUUAUUGCUGGUACUUGUGAUCGGCUCCUCUUGAAUGCAUUAGCUCGAACCUUUGCGGAUCAGCUAUCGGUGUGAUAAUUGUCUACGCCGUUGCAGUGAAGCAUAUCAAUGGGCUCGGCUUCCAAUCGUCCUUUACUGGACAAUGACUUUGACCUUUGACCUCAAAUCAGGUAGGAUUACCCGCUGAACUUAAGC
rnacentral:misc_RNA from 1 species